AUUAUUUUUCACAAAAAAAAAAAAAAAAAAAAUCUGUUCUUAUCAGUUUAAUAUCUGAUACGUCCCCUAUCUGGGGACCAUAUAUUAAAUUGAUUUUUGGAAUAGGGAGAUGGAAUAGGGGCUUGCUCCGUCCACUCCACGCAUCGACCUGGUAUUGCAGUACCUCGUCGCAUGCACAGGAU